CUGUCGUACCGAAUCACCGCAGCCGGUCUCCUCGGCUAGACGCCGCUGGUCCACGGACUAAAUGCAGCUAAGGGAAGUCGGCAAACUAGCCGCGUACCUUUGGUAGAUGCGGUGGCUCCAGAGACCAGGCCAUCGGGCCCACUCGCAGGCCGUGUGGCGCAGGGGAGUGCUCCUCUGCGAACGACCAUGCCCUCGGGUGUGGGCGUUGGACAGAGGUCUGUGCGCCCUUGCUGCUGCCGUCCCUGCGGAUGGGGGAUUGGGAGUUCGCUUCCUUUCCCACCCCGGUGACUAUUAGUGGUUAGCUUGGAACUGUUGCUGUGCGGGGGAAUCUGACUGUUUAAUUGAAACAUAGCUUCGUGAGGGGACCAGACGGCUGUUUCCACGAGGUGACUUCUGCCCAGUGCUCUGAUUGUCAACGCAAAGAGAUUUAGCCAAGCGCGGGUAAACGGCGGGAGUAACUAUGACUCUCUUAAGGUAGCCAAAUGCCUCGUCAACCAAUUAUUGACGCGCAUGAAUGGAUCAACGAGAUUCCUGCUGUCCCUAGUUGCCGUCCGGUGAACCAACAGCCAAGGGAACGGGCUUGGGCGCGUCAGCGGGGAAAGAAGACCCUGUUGAGUUUGACUCUAGUCUGACAUUGUGCAACGACAUGGGGGGUGUAGCACAGGUGGGAGGCCAGCGCCGCCUGUG
rnacentral:rRNA from 16 species